rnacentral:lncRNA from 1 species
GAACUGAAAGAGACAGGUUAGAAGCCUGUAGAUCCAAGUAAUGCUUUUCAGAAUCUAUUUAAUAAAUGGAAAAAAGGUAAAGGAGAGAAGUUCCAUAUAAAAAAUCCUGAACUUAUUUUAUUUUGAAAUAAACUUUAUUGGAACUAGUCAUUCGUUACUUAGAACAUCUGAGAUUUUUCUUGCUCUCACAUUAUUUUUCUGCCUUUUUAUUCUUAAGAACACUCAUUUGGGGGGGAAAAAAAGAUGAAUACUCAUAAGCAUUUUCUCUAAGAUGUUGGUCCACAGAAUGGCAUUAUUGAAAAGUACCUCUUGCCCAGAAAAUAUUGGAAGAAUUCCACUUGAAUAAAUAUUGCAUAACUCAGUGCCUACUUUUACAUACCCGUAUUUGUGUUAAGCUAAUCCUAGUUUCCAAAAAAAGGAUUUUGUACUGUCGAAUAGCAUUUCUGAAAUACUGCCAAUCCCAUCUUGUAAUGGAGGUUCCUCGGUAUAAAACAGGUUAGAAAGGGUGCGAUGCCAUGCAGGUUUUUAGAAAGAGAGUUUGGUUUUUGAUGUUUUAAAUGAAUCAUGGUUUAGUUCAUUUAUUUCUGCAGAAAUGUUUUCAAUAUGCUAUCUGAUCAUUUUCUACUUUUGCUUUGAGUUUUUUUCAUUUUGGUCCUUUCCAACUAUCUGCUUUCAAUAUAAAUUACAGUUUAUCAUUGUGUGCUUACAUUUUAGCAUACUUCAUCCCUCCAAGGUAUGUUUUUUAUCUGUGUGAUUUAUACUUUGGAUUAAAUUGUUUCUGUGUAAAUGAAACAGUGGCUAGUUGCCCACAGAAAAUGAGUGAGGCUUACAAACUACAUAUUGUUUAUCCAAUUAUUUGUUAUAAACCUCUUGUUUAUCUAUACAAUAUAACUGUGACAAUCAAACUAGAAUGCACCUGCAUGAGGUUCUUGGUUUUUUUUUCUCUUGUUUCACCUUCUUGUGACCAUCCUAUCAUCUGAUUUCAGUUGAUUAACCUGCUGCUGAGCGCCCUCUUUUUUUUGAACUUUUACAGCUUUUAGUUUUGCUUAAUUUAUAGACUGACAAACAUUCCACAUAUUAUUUUAAUUUUACUUUUGGUGCGAAACUUUAUGCUUAAUGCACAGGAAUGCAAGUUCUUUAUUGAUGAGAUUUUUUUAAAAAGGAGGGGAGAGGAGUUCCCAUCGUGGCUUAGCAGUUAACAGAUCUGAGUAGCAUCCAUGAGGACAUAGGUUCAAUCCCUGCCUUUGCUCAGUAGGUUAAGGAUCUGACAUUGCCAUGAGCUGUGGUGUAGGUCACAGACAUGGCUCGUAUCCCGCAUUGCUGUGGGGUCUAAUCGGAGCUACAGCUGCCGUCCUGCAUGAUAGCUCACAGCAACACGGGAUUCUUAACCCACUGAGGGAGGCCAGGGAUCGAACCCACAACCUCAUGGUUCCUAGUCGGUUUCGUUUCUGCUGCAUCACGACAGGAACUCCCAUAGUUAUUUAAAAAAAUAGAUGGAUUAAAUGUUUCUAAUUGGGCUAUCAUUCAUCUAUUAAUUUAUUCAACAAAUAGUUCUUGAAUUCAGGGCACUGUAUUUUCUUUAUUGCUGCAAUAUGUCACCUGUAUUCUAGCCUCCUCUUUUAAAAUAGCUUUAUUGAGAUAUAUUUCACAUAUCAUUCAGUUCACUGAUUUAAAGUGUAAAGCCCCUUAUUUUUAAGCGAUAGUUUUCAAGACAAUGGUCUGGUAAUAUCUAAGCUUGGAUAUUUGGCCAUCCUAUAGGUAAAUAAGAAGGACCACCUUUUAGACUCUGGAUACAUGUUCUUCUGCCAUCGCAAACUGGAAGAACAGAUAUCCCAUUUAUUCUUCCUGCGACUGUUCUGCAGAACUCCAGGGAACACUCCUGGAGGGGUGUUAAUUGUGUGGCGAACAGGACCAAACAAGUAACUUCAGUGUCCUGGAGACCUGUUUCCCAUGAUAAGUCCUCCAAGUCAUAGCCCUAUCAUUUCCCCCCGGAAACCAGAUAAACAAACCAUGUCCCCAGUGACGGUAAAAGACUAUGUAUUUACCAAAUUAUCAGCACAUGCCCAAAUGCUGCUCUUCCAGAUAGUCUGGUCUUAAUGAAGGGAAAUUAUGUCUUAACUAAUAAUAAUUUCAAAAAGAUAUUUUCACAUUCUCUUCAAAAGCUGUCACAUAAGCAUAAAACAAAGCCAGUAUUGAUCUUAAAUGUAGUAUGUAGUCUUUUGUUUCCCUCCUUUAGAAUAAUUUUAAUUAUUUAGAAAACGUUAUACCACUAGUACACGCACAUUGCUGAAAAAAUAGAAAAUACUCAAGAACAAAAGUACAAAAAGGAUUUGUAGGCACUCAAAGAUAGCCUACAGAGAUAGCCUAUGUAGUUAUUUAUUUGUUUUUGCCUGCACCUGAGGCAGCGGAAGUUCCCCAACCAGGGAUUGAACCUACGCCACAGCAGCAACCCAAGCCGCUGCAGUGACACUGGACCCAUUGCACUACAAGAGAACUCCUAGCCUAUGCAACUUUUAUGUAUAUUGUUUCAGAAAAUACGUUUUGGGGGCUGUAUUUUUAUACAUUUUAACUGGUUUAUUGCAAGCUUUGACAGUCUGCAAUGGAAAAUUGGGCUUGCAGGAAUAUCUAAUACUCAGAUUAUCUCUAAUUGUUGUGCAGUCGACCUCUUUGACCUCCAGGAGGUAUCCACAGCUUCUUUCCCUCCUGCCCUGUUUCCCCUGAGUCCAUGCCCUCUGACUGUAAUAGCCCUGAAGGCACAUCACCAUCACCAUUGCUAAUAGUGCCCUUGGCCGCGUGAAAGACCUUGCGUGUCACAGUGCUUGGAAGGCACCGCGGAGUAGCCCUUGAGUAGCAUGGGACGUGCCAUGACUCUAGAGAAAACAGCUCUUUGACCUUUUCAGAGCUCAGCUCCGUAUUUCCUGCCAGCAAGACCACAAGCAGAAACACGUACUCAUCCUCACCCCUUAGAACAAGUGACAGGAGCUCUCAAGCCAAAUACAUAAAACAGAACAGUUCUCUCGCACAGACUAACACCUGUCGCGUAGUAAGCUCCAUAUGCACUGACACUAAGAAGACUUAGCUCGUGCUCGUAGGCAGCCUCCUGUGUGAACCUCUACGGACUAAAACAUUCAAGUUGCGGGGGCGUGGGGGGGAGGUUCACUAUCUCAAACAUCUUCUAUUCAGAUGAGGGAUCAGCUUGAUACUUAUGUAAUUCAGUGGCCUGUUCAGGAUUAUCAGCUCAAAGAAACAAUCUGCCCUAAAAGUAGAUUCGACACUGCAAAACAAACAAAGCAUAAAAACCAGCUCCCUCCGGAGACAGUUUUGUAAGGUUUUCAUCUUCUCCAUCUAGGUUUCAGUUGGCUUGGUUUCAGUAAAGCUUUGAGUUCAAGGUCCUUGUUCCUUGAUUAGCAGUCUUAGCUCCGACACCAGUGCUUCUGAGGAGGGUCUUAACUGUGGUCGUGGGUGGCAAAGGGGGACUUUCUUUUCUUUCUUUCUUUUUUUUUUUUUUUUUUUUUUUGACUUUAUGUUCAUGCUUUAGGCAUAUGUGUACUUUUAAGUCAUUGCAAUGAGAAUAUAUUCAUAUUAUAUAACUUGGAACAAAUACUUCCAGUAUCACCACCAGCAAAAGUAGAAACCUGGCCGCAAACACAUGAGGCAUUCACAGUGGAGCUUGUGGUACAUCUAUUUCUAGUGUACUGUUACAUAACCAUGGCGGCAGCAUGGUCAGAGGCAAGACUAGUGCAGGAGUCAGGGCACCUGGCUCUGUGUCAACUGUCAUUCAUUCCCCCAGUUUCUGUAUCUAUCCUGUCGUUGUAGAGACUGCUGCAGUCUCUUAGAACUCCACCAUUCUAGAAGUGUCUGUGACUCACUUGAAUGCUCUGGUUGUAAGAAAUGUUACACUCUUUUCUUUCUCCAGAUAAAAUUUAAUCUUAAUGAUUUGUUUUGUGUUGAGAGAGAAUUCAAUGUCAAGCCUUUUUUUUUAAUGAUUUUUUAUUUUUUCCUUCAUAACUGGUUUACAGUGUUCUGUCAAUUUUCUACUGUACAGCAAGAUGACCCAGUCACACAUACAUAUAUACAUGCUUUUUCUCACGUUAUCACGCUCCAUCAUAAGUGAGUAGAUAUAGUUUCCAGUGCUACACAGCAGGAUCUCAUUGCUUAUCCAUCCAAAGGCCAUAGUUUGCAUCUAUUAACCCCAAAUUCCCAGUCCAUCCCACUCCCUCCCCCCCACCUUGGCAACCACAAGUCUGUUUUCCAAGUCCAUGAGUUUCUUUUCUGUGGAAAGGUUCAUUUGUGCCAUGUUUUAGAUUCCAGAUAAUGUCAAUCUUUUAUCAGAUUUGUUUCCCCUUCUGCAGGAUUCUACCAGAGUCCAGGGACCUGUGGCGUCCACACAUCUGGGCGUAAAGCGGCUGUUCCGCAGUGACAGCAAGCCCAGUGAACAUCCUCCUUGUCCAGUUCCGCCAAGUCUUGAGUGGCAGUACCUCCGCUUCUUUUACCCUUAGUUUGGCUGCUAGGAUCCUUUAACAACCCUCCAAGAUACUCCUCUUAAAAUGUAUCGUUACUUCUCCUGUACCAGUCUGUUUUCAGCUCAGCUCCUGCUGCUAUUCUUUGCUCUUUUAACAUUCUGGAGAGAAUGGAAGUCUGCACCUUGCAUUUCCCAGGGUCCCCCUGCCAGCAGGCUUCUUACUGCAUUUGCUGAUGGGAGGCACUGACAGGAUACUGGAAGUCAGGAAGUGAGGAGAAGGGAUUUAUCUAUGGCUUCCAGUUUCUAACAGUGUCUCAGGUGGCAAUGAUAGUCAUUACUGAAGGGACAGUGUUGCCAAAGUGCCACCCCCUGGUGGGGCAGCACCUCAGCAGCAAAUCCAGAAAUGAUGGCAGUGGUGUCUCUAUCAGCACAGUGGCAGGUACAGGCUCGUGAACCCAGUCCAGGAGCACUGCCAUCGUUUAGGUAUCAUCCUUCUCAUUUUCCACCCUCCACCUCCCCCCUUCCUUAUUUUCUCUCUUCUAUUACUUGUAUAACCAAUUCCUUGGGUUACAUUUCCUCCAACUGGGAGUUCCCAUCAUGGCUCAGUGGUAACAAACCUGACUAGUAUCCAUGAGGAUGUGGGUUCGAUCCCUGGCCCUCACUCAGUAGGUUAAGGAUCUGGCAUUGCUAGUGAGCUGUGGUGUAGGUCACAGAUGUGGCUCGGAUCCCAGGUUGCUGUGGCUGUGGCUGUGACUGGCAGCU